CCUGGUGGCUCAGUGGUAAAGAAUCUGCCUACAAUGCAGAAGAUUCGGGUUUGAUUCCUGGGUCAGGA
rnacentral:tRNA from 1 species